rnacentral:rRNA from 1 species
GACGAACGCUGGCGGCGUGCUUAACACAUGCAAGUCGAGCGGUAAGGCCCUUUCGGGGGUACACGAGCGGCGAACGGGUGAGUAACACGUGGGUGACCUGCCCUCAGCUCUGGGAUAAGCCUGGGAAACCGGGUCUAAUACUGGAUAUGACUCCAUGACGCAUGUUGUGGGGUGGAAAGCCUUGUGCGGCUGAGGAUGGGCCCGCGGCCUAUCAGCUUGUUGGUGGGGUGAGGCCUACCAAGGCGACGACGGGUAGCCGGCCUGAGAGGCGACCGGCCACACUGGGACUGAGACACGGCCCAGACUCCUACGGGAGGCAGCAGUGGGGAAUCUUGCGCAAUGGGCGAAAGCCUGACGCAGCGACGCCGCGUGAGGGAUGACGGCCU